GCCUUUACCACGUUGUGCUGGAGUAUUCAUGCUCUGUAGUGUGAUUCAUUCAUAAAUCAGGAAAAGCCAUGGCGUGAUUCUCAGACUCCUUGCUUCAGCAUUAUUUGUGAGAAAUAUUAAGCAUCUGUGGGUGUCUAAUUUCAGAAGAAGCAGAGGAUUUCUGUCUCAAAUUGGUAGGUUUGAAAAGCCAUGGCGUGUGUUAAUGUAACCGUUAGCACACCAUUCUGCUAGAGACGAUGCUGGGUGCUGUUCUCUCCUGGUAUGAUAUUUGUUCCUGAAAUUUCUCCUUACUCAUGACAUGGGGCUUCAUGAACUUUCUUGUCUUUGGCUCCGCUAGUGUCUUAAGAGCCUGCGGUGAGCACUUGUGUCUGAAGACCUGCAGGAGCGGGGUUGUUGCCUUCUAAGGAGAGGCCUGCUGUGUCUCUGUAUUGUGUCUUGAGGUCCUGCUCCGCAAGGGUCCAGUGGAAAUGCGUGGCUCUUGGAGUCAGUCUCAGCACCCCUCACAGCUCCAGGUCUUUGCUAAUUAGAACUGACCUUUCUUCAGUUUGUCACCUGUAAAAUGGAGAUAAGGAAAUUUGGUUUUAUUGAUUCUAAGAUUCAGUCUUCACAGUCUCUUUUCUUUCUUUCCUCUUCUUUUCUUCUCUUUUCUUUUCUUUUCUUUUCUUUUCUUUUCUUUUCUUUUCUUUUCUUCGGAGCUGGGAACUGAACCCAGGGCCUUGCGCUUGCUAGGCAAGCGCUCUACCACUGAGCUAAAUCCCCAACCCUCAGUCUUCACAGUUUUAUAUCUGAAAUGAGAAUGUAUCGUGCCAUCGGCUGCCUACAUGACUGGCACCUCUGUUGCCUGGUGACGUAGUGACACACUUCACAAUCAGUGGCACCUUAGAUCCUGCUCAGACAGAGUAUUUUGUUGUCGUUGUUGUUGCCAUUGUUGGUACAAAGCAAGAGACGCGCAUCUGAUGCAUGGGAGACAGAUUAUCGUGCCGCGGGGACAUUUUCUGAUGAGGCACUUCACACAAGCAUGACCACGAGAAGGUCCGAUUAUUAUGUGGAACACCCUUGCUGGAGAAACCACCAUCCCGGAAUAGUGCUUCAAUCAGACAGACACGGGUCUUUUUUCAGGUGGCGGCUGUAAACUCUGUGGCUCCGUGGAACAUUUUAAGAAAGAUUGCCCUGAAAAUCAGAACUCAGAUCGAAUCAUCACAGUUGGUCGCUGGGCAAAGGGAAUGAGUGCAGACCACGAAGAUGUUCUGGAUGUGCCCAAACCACAGAAACCUAAAACAAAAGUACCCAAAGUAGUUAAUUUUUGAUAAGAAUUGGUACAGUUGUUAAGUACCAUCUCAAGGUUACU
rnacentral:lncRNA from 1 species